GGCCUCGUAGCUCACUUGGCCAAAGCGUUGGCUGUACCAAAGCCUUCUCCUUGUUGGCGUGGGUUCGAAUCCCACCGAGGCCG
rfam:Schistocephalus solidus strain NST_G2 genome assembly, scaffold: SSLN_scaffold0002502